rnacentral:rRNA from 1 species
AGCGAACGCUGGCGGCAGGCUUAACACAUGCAAGUCGAGCGGGCGUAGCAAUACGUCAGCGGCAGACGGGUGAGUAACGCGUGGGAACAUACCUUUUGGUUCGGAACAACACAGGGAAACUUGUGCUAAUACCGGAUAAGCCCUUACGGGGAAAGAUUUAUCGCCGAAAGAUUGGCCCGCGUCUGAUUAGCUAGUUGGUGAGGUAACGGCUCACCAAGGCGACGAUCAGUAGCNGGUCUGAGAGGAUGAUCAGCCACAUUGGGACUGAGACACGGCCCAAACUCCUACGGGAGGCAGCAGUGGGGAAUAUUGGACAAUGGGCGAAAGCCUGAUCCAGCCAUGCCGCGUGAGUG